UAAUACCAGCUACUUACCCCAUACUCACCAACUAAACACCAGCUACUUACCCCAUACUUACCAACUAAACAC